CCUACGGGUGGCAGCAGUGGGGAAUAUUGGGCAAUGGGCGCAAGCCUGACCCAGCAACGCCGCGUGAAGGAAGAAGGCUUUCGGGUUGUAAACUUCUUUUCUCAGGGACGAAGCAAGUGACGGUACCUGAGGAAUAAGCCACGGCUAACUACGUGCCAGCAGCCGCGGUAAUACGUAGGUGGCAAGCGUUAUCCGGAUUUACUGGGUGUAAAGGGCGUGUAGGCGGGGACGCAAGUCAGAUGUGAAAACCACGGGCUCAACCUGUGGCCUGCAUUUGAAACUGUGUUUCUUGAGUACUGGAGAGGCAGACGGAAGUCCUAGGGUAGCGGUGAAAUGCGUAGAGAGUAGGAGGAACACCAGGGGCGAAGGCGGUCUGCUGGACAGCAACUGACGCUGAGGCGCGAAAGCGUGGGGAGCAAACAGGAUUAGAUACCCCUGUAGGC
rnacentral:rRNA from 1 species